GAUGAACGCUGGCGGCGUGCCUAACACAUGCAAGUCGAGCGAUUUACUUCGGUAAAGAGCGGCGGACGGGUGAGUAACGCGUGGGUAACCUGCCCUGUACACACGGAUAACAUACCGAAAGGUAGUGCUAAUACGAGAUAAUAUACUUUUAUCGCAUGGUAGAAGUAUCAAAGCUCUGGCGGUACAGGAUGGACCCGCGUCUGAUUAGCUAGUUGGUAAGGUAACGGCUUACCAAGGCGACGAUCAGUAGCCGACCUGAGAGGGUGAUCGGCCACAUUGGAACUGAGACACGGUCCAAACUCCUACGGGAGGCAGCAGUGGGGAAUAUUGCACAAUGGGCGAAAGCCUGAUGCAGCAACGCCGCGUGAGCGAUGAAGGCCUUCGGGUCGUAAAGCUCUGUCCUCAAGGAAGAUAAUGACGGUACUUGAGGAGGAAGCCCCGGCUAACUACGUG
rnacentral:rRNA from 1 species